AUUCGCUUGUAUGGAGAUGACCCUCGCCUCGGCCUUAUCACCCAGAUCAUUCGGCUUUCAUACUUCUUUUAUCAAAAACAUUGAAAACCCUAGCUAAUUAGCUAUAGUUCCUUUUGCAGAUGAUGAGGUAAUGGAGGUAGACGAUGUUCUUCUCGAUCUUGUUACCAACAAUUUAUAUUCAAUAACAUAUAGAGAAUGAGAAAUCAUGUGUAUGGCACGCUACUGAUUACUCUGAUGGUGAAUUGAAAGAACAGUUGUUUUGUGUUCGAUUUGCAUCCACCGAGAUACCUGAAUACUACCUAAGGUUGCGCAUCAAAGUUUGGGGUACUGUUACAUUCUUUGGUGCCGGUGUAUCUUAUUUGCAAACAAAGCUAGAUGCAGGAAGACAUGAUCAUACCUCCACUAGCUCUUGUCUGCAGGUUUGAUGUUUGUUGGGGGUGUUUUAAACUAAAUUGGCAAUCUUCUUACACGGGAUACUGGGAUUACUCGACAUCUCCCUUACGUAUUGCUUUGUGAGGAACUGAAGGGAGCUGUUGCAAGUACUUUUGUUGCUUUUACCACGCCACCCAGCAAUGCCGAAUAUAACUGCCUCGUUAAUGAAAUAAUGGAUCCAAGUGGGAUGUUAUACGAUGUAUAUGGAGUACUUUGGAGAUGUUUCACUAGGUCGAUUAGAUGGCCAAAAACUUCUGUAAUCCUAUAGGAGAGACCUAGCUAGAUUGAAUGCUUCAGUUCAAAUUUUUAAGUGUGAUUUUGAGUUGUAAAUGCAAAAUGAAUUUAUCCUUUUUUUGGUUGUAAUGUAACACUGGAUUAUCUUUUAAAUGCAAUGUAUAUCUGAUUUCAGAUUCAGUUCCAGA